UACGAAGGGGGCUAGCGUUGCUCGGAAUCACUGGGCGAAAGGGUGCGUAGGCGGGUUUUAAGUCAGGGGUGAAAUCCUGGAGCUCAACUCCAGAACUGCCUUUGAUACUGAAGAUCUUGAGUCCGGGAGAGGUGAGUGGAACUGCGAGUGUAGAGGUGAAAUUCGUAGAUAUUCGCAAGAACACCAGUGGCGAAGGCGGCUCACUGGCCCGGUACUGACG
rnacentral:rRNA from 1 species